rnacentral:rRNA from 1 species
CCUGAAUUCGAGGGGGAUUGGAUUCAAGGCCUCGCGGUCUCAGUCUGCUGCCCGCCAGUUGGUGCCGUGUGGCUCCGGGGUGACGUGGAAUGCGUGCGGAGUCGACCGGUUCACCACUCGACGUGUGUGGCUUAUCUGGUGACGGGGGUGUGCACUUCCUCCCCAGUAGAAACGUCGCGACCCGUUGGGUGUCGGUCUAAGGCCCGGGAUGGCAGACCAUGUGUCCUGUUGUUGGGUUCUCAGGCAUGUGGACUCCUGGUGACCUGGCUGACUGCCCGACGGUAUGAACAGAGGGGUCGAUCCACUAAAGGUGAAACAUGAGGUGUGUGAAGUGUCCGGACCCUGCACAGAUGCGAUCAGGGAUAAGUAAAGUCGGGUUCCCCCCAUGUGAUGCAUGGUCCGGCCCUGUUUCGGUCUCUGUUGCUUGUGCCUCGGACUGGAUCAGUACUCCCGUCUGCGACGAUAUAUUUCGGAUUGUCUCCCG